rnacentral:rRNA from 1 species
GAUGAACGCUGGCGGCGUGCCUAAUACAUGCAAGUCGAGCGAACAGACGAGGAUCUUGCUCCUCUGACGUUAGCGGCGGACGGGUGAGUAACACGUGGAUAACCUACCUAUAAGACUGGGAUAACUUCGGGAAACCGGAGCUAAUACCGGAUAAUAUAUUGAACCGCAUGGUUCAAUAGUGAAAGACGGUUUUGCUGUCGCUUAUAGAUGGAUCCGCGCCGCAUUAUCUAGUUGGUAAGGUAACGGCUUACCAAGGCAACGAUGCGUAGCCGACCUGAGAGGCUGAUCGGCCACACUGGAACUGAGACACGGUCCAGACUCCUACGGGAGGCAGCAGUAGGGAAUCUUCCGCAAUGGGCGAAAGCCUGACGGAGCAACGCCGCGUGAGUGAUGAAGGUCUUCGGAUCGUAAAACUCUGUUAUUAGGGAAGAACAAAUGUGUAAGUAACUAUGCACGUCUUGACGGUACCUAAUCAGAAAGCCACGGCUAACUACGUG